AGCAGCCGCGGUAAUUCCAGCUCCAAUAGCGUAUAUUAAAGUUGUUGCAGUUAAAAAGCUCGUAGUUGAAUUUCGAAAUUUUUUUAUCGGUUGAAUCAACAGGUUCGUACUGAUUUUAAGAAUUUCUACCUUCUGGAGAACCUUAAUGUCAUUUAUUUGAUGUUUUGGGAAACCAGGACUGUUACCUUGAAAAAAUUAGAGUGUUUAAAGCAGGCUUAUGUCUGAAUAUAUUAGCAUGGAAUAAUGAAAUAGGACGGCAUGGUUCUAUUUUGUUGGUUUCUAGGAUCACCGUAAUGAUUAAUAGGGAUAGUUGGGGGCAUUAGUAUUCAAUUGUCAGAGGUGAAAUUCUUGGAUUUAUUGAAGACUAACUUCUGCGAAAGCAUCUGCCAAGGAUGUUUUCAUUAAUCAAGAACGAAAGUUAGGGGAUCGAAGACGAUCAGAUACCGUCGUAGUCUUAACCAUAAACUAUGCCGACUAGGAAUCGGACGAAGUUAAUUUUUUAAUGACUCGUUCGGCGCCU
rnacentral:rRNA from 1 species